CCCUAUGGGGUGCAGCAGCUGCGAAACCUUUACAAUGCACGCAAGUGUGAUAGGGGGAUCCCGAGUGCUCAUGCAUUGCAUGGGCUUUUGUCAAGGGUAAGUACCUUGGCGAAUAAGUGGUGGGUAAGACUGGUGCCAGCCGCCGCGGUAACACCAGCGCCACGAGUGGCAAUCACGAUUAUUGGGUCUAAAGCGUCCGUAGCCGGUUCGGUAAAUCUUUUGUGAAAUCGUUGGGCUCAACCUAACGGCGAGCAGAAGACACUACCGGACUUGAGACCGGAAGGAGUGCAGAGUAUGGUGUGGGGACCGGUAAAAUGGGAUAAUCCACGCUAGACUACCGAUGGCGAAGGCACUGCACCAGGACGGAUCUGACGGUGAGGGACGAAAGCUAGGGGAGCGAACCGGAUUAGAUACCCGAGUAGUCCUAGCUGUAAACGCUGUGAGCUAGGUGUUGCGUAUUCCUCGGGAAUACGCAGUGUCGAAUCGAAGGAGUUAAGCUCACCACCUGGGAAGUACGGUCGCAAGGCUGAAACUUUAAGGAAUUGGCGGGGAAGCACCACAAGGGGUGCGGCGUGCGGUUUAAUCUAACUCAACACAGAAAACCUUACUAGAAGCGACGGCAGAAUGAAGGUCAGUCUGAAGGGCUUACCCAACAAGCCGAGAAGAAGUGCAUGGCC
rnacentral:rRNA from 1 species